UACAGAGACUGCAAGCGUUAUUCGGAUUCACUGGGCGUAAAGGGUGCGCAGGCGCCAUGUGUGUCAGGUGUGAAAGCCCGAGGCUCAACCUCGGAAUUGCGCCUGAAACUACAUGGCUAGAGUACUGGAGAGGGUAGCGGAAUUCAUGGUGUAGCAGUGAAAUGCGUAGAUAUCAUGAGGAACACCAGAGGCGAAGGCGGCUACCUGGACAGUUACUGACGCUCAGGCACGAAAGCGUGGGGAGCAAAAGGG
rnacentral:rRNA from 1 species